CGUCACGGUAUGCGACACUUGUCAUGCUAAUUGUUUGCCGUGGGAUCCCUUUAAAAGCCCGGCACUGCUGCAGCCAGGGCCAAACACUUGAAAUAUUGCCCUUAUCGUGCGUCGCAGUGUGCCGUAUUUGGGGUACCACUCAAUCGGUGGGUGCGCGUCCUUGUUUAAGUUACCGGCUGCUUUGCUGUGUUGCGGUGUCAGCACUUAGCAACGGGAGUUCACCUCUCUUCGUCUUCGGCCGUGGUGGGUCGCUUACCGGAAGUACACAAGAUCAAGGCUGCAUUUUGGUCACCGGCUGCUGUUUUGUCAUCAAUAACCCUUUUAGUUUUAUGACUCUUAUUUAGCGAAUGCUCUAUCGCGGCGGCACCGUACGAGGGUGGCCGGAGCAUCUGAGUGGUAACGUGUGAUCGUGUGUGUUGGUGCGUGUGUGCGUGCAGGUGAUUGUGUGAGUUAGCGUUGAGGGCGCUGGGUGUGUGUAGACGUGCUCCGUGUUGGCGUGGGGUGCAUGCUCGUGCGUGUGUGUGUGCGUAUGGAUAUCGGGUAUGGGGUUUCCUGGUGGGUAGCAUGAGGAAUGAUCUACUGUGAUAUUGUAUUGUAAACAUAACCUUCUUUGUUAGCUG